AACGAACGCUGGCGGCAGGCCUCAAACAUGCAAGUCGAGGGGGCGUAGCAAUACGUCACCGGCGGACGGGUGCGUAACACGUGGGAAUGUACCUAGUGGUUCGGAACAACGCUUGGAAACGAGUGCUAAUACCGGAUGUGCCCGAAAGGGGAAAGAUUUAUCGCCACUAGAUCAGCCCGCGCAGGAUUAGCUAGUUGGUAGGGUAAUGGCCUACCAAGGCUCCGAUCCUUAGCUGUUCUGAGAGGAAGAUCAGCCACACUGGGACUGAGACACGGCCCAGACUCCUACGGGAGGCAGCAGUUGGGAAUCUUGGACAAUGGGCGAAAGCCUGAUCCAGCCAUGCCGCGUGAGUGAUGAAGGCCUUAGGGUUGUAAAGCUCUUUUACCCGGGAAGAUAAUGACGGUACCGGGAGAAUAAGCACCGGCUAACUCUGUGCCAGCCGCCGCGGUAA
rnacentral:rRNA from 1 species